rnacentral:tRNA from 1 species
AGUAGAGUCAGCUAAAUAAGCUUUUGGGCCCAUACCCCAAAAAUGUUGGUAAUCCCCCUCCUCUACUA